UUACAAUGGCACAGAAAGAAGUGGCUUACAACCAAUUCUUGCACUUAUGGCCGUCGCAGCAUCCCCAUGGCCACGUGAUCAAAAUUUAGAUGAGAAGACAGACCAAGAUAGCUGAAAGAAGUAACCACCAGGUAGAAUCCGAGUGACUGAGUGUGUUGUGGCCCUCCAGCGGCCUGCACGGAUUGUUGCUGAUCCCGACGACGAGGAGGCUGGUGUGGUGCUGUGUAGCUGGUGCUCGAGUCGGACAGCGAGGAGGCUGAAGAAGAUGUGGUGCCAGAGGCAGAGAUCCAGUCAGGGCCUUCAGAACCUCCAGAGGCUCCUUCAAGUGAAGAGGAUGAAGAGGAGGAGCCUCUUCUCAAUGCAUGGGCACGCAGAGCUGCCAAAAGGCAGGAGUGGUUCUCAGGAGGAGGUCUCCUCGAGAGUAAGGUUUGGGGCUAACUGA